rnacentral:rRNA from 1 species
UACGUAGGGUGCGAGCGUUAAUCGGAAUUACUGGGCGUAAAGCGUGCGCAGGCGGUUAUGUAAGACAGGUGUGAAAUCCCCGGGCUUAACCUGGGAACUGCAUUUGUGACUGCAUAGCUAGAGUACGGUAGAGGGGGAUGGAAUUCCGCGUGUAGCAGUGAAAUUCGUAGAUAUCGGGAGGAACACCAGUGGCGAAGGCGGCGACCUGGGCCAAUAUUGACGCUGAGGUGCGAAAGCGUGGGGAGCAAACAGG